rnacentral:rRNA from 1 species
GAUGAACGCUGGCGGCGUGCCUAAUACAUGCAAGUCGAGCGAACAGACGAGGAGCUUGCUCCUCUGACGUUAGCGGCGGACGGGUGAGUAACACGUGGAUAACCUACCUAUAAGACUGGGAUAACUUCGGGAGACCGGAGCUAAUACCGGAUAAUAUAUUGAACCGCAGGGAGCAAUAGUGAAAGACGGUUUUGCUGUCACAUAUAGAUGGAUCCGCGCCGGAUUAGCUAGUUGGUAAGGUAACGGCUUACCAAGGCAACGAUGCGUAGCCGACCUGAGAGGGUGAUCGGCCACACUGGAACUGAGACACGGUCCAGACUCCUACGGGAGGCAGCAGUAGGGAAUCUUCCGCAAUGGGCGAAAGCCUGACGCAGCAACGCCGCGUGAGUGAUGAAGGUCUUCGGAUCGUAAAACUCUGUUAUUAGGGAAGAACAACUGUGUAAGUAACUAUGCACGUCUUGACGGUACCUAAACAGAAAGCCCCGGCUAACUACGUG